rnacentral:rRNA from 1 species
GACGAACGCUGGCGGCGUGCUUAACACAUGCAAGUCGAACGGAAAGGCCCUGCUUUUGUGGGGUGCUCGAGUGGCGAACGGGUGAGUAGCACGUGAGUAACCUGCCCUUGACUUUGGGAUAACUUCAGGAAACUGGGGCUAAUACCGGAUAGGAGCUCCUGCUGCAUGGUGGGGGUUGGAAAGUUUCGGCGGUUGGGGAUGGACUCGCGGCUUAUCAGCUUGUUGGUGGGGUAGUGGCUUACCAAGGCUUUGACGGGUAGCCGGCCUGAGAGGGAGACCGGCCACAUUGGGACUGAGAUACGGCCCAGACUCCUACGGGAGGCAGCAGUGGGGAAUAUUGCACAAUGGGCGGAAGCCUGAUGCAGCAACGCCGCGUGCGGGAUGACGGCCUUCGGGUUGUAAACCGCUUUCGCCUGUGACGAAGCGUGAGUGACGGUAAUGGGUAAAGAAGCACCGGCUAACUACGUG